GAUAUGAAUCGAGUAAACUGUUGUAGUAUGGCAGUGAUAAUGCAAUUAAUAAUGGUCAAGAUUGUAGAAAGCCAGACCGAGUUGUAAGAGAACGCGUGUUGAUCGCGAUGAAUGGCAUGAUGUUGAUGACCGCAGACUGGAGGACUGAGCCAACUGAACUGAACUGCGUGUUGGAUAUUAUUUGAACAUCUAUUGAAACGUCAAAAUGGAAAUAAUUCAGUGCGUGGCUAGAUGGUCAACAGAUGUAAAUCGUUGCCUGCAAUAGUGCACGUGUCUUGUUGUUCUAUCGGAUCUAUACAGUUGGUUCGGUACAUGUAUCGUCCAAGAGUAUGAGACAGAGGACUCGAAAUUUCGGACACGGGGCGAGUGACCACUGCUAGCGAGCUUUGUGACCAAUGACGUGGCCAGGGUUGCCAGCCAUUAUUACAGUGAGUGAAAGCAGAAAGGAUAGUCCAGGUGCUGAAGCCUCUUGAGGAGCUUGGCAGCGAUGAAAAAACACGUUCACAAGUUUCACCACGAGUGGAUCGUGCCCAUCAGAAUCUCUGGUCUGUACUGUCACCCGGUCGAGCAUUGCCUCUCAAACAUAUUGCCGGUAAUGGCUGGUCCCGUCCUGCUCGGCUCUCACUGUAUGCUGCUGCUGCUGUGGGCCUGCAUCUCGCUGGCCUCCGUGUCCGUCGCACACUGUGGGGCGGCUUCCACCUGCCGUUCAUGGCGUCCAACGAGUACCACAACUACCAUCAUGCAAAGUUCAACCUUCGGCAUGCUGGGGAUCUUUGAUUUUCUGUAUGGCACGGACAGUCGCUUCUGUCUAUCAAAGUCGUACGAGUGCCAUUCCAUGCUACUUGGCACCACCCCAGCCAACGUUCUGAUUCCCUACGAACCGAAGAAAUUCCAGUAAAAAGGUCAAGUCGGCAGUGUAUGUGCAGUGUGCAGUGCAUGUGCAUGUGUGCAUCCUCACUGCUGUUGUUAGUCUCCUCACAGUCCACCCUUGACCGUCCCAUUCUCCAGUUUCAAUGCUAGUCUCCUCACAGUCCACACUUGACCGUCCCAUUCUCCAGUUUCAAUGCUAGUCUCCUCACAGUCCACCCUUGACCGUCCCAUUCUCCAGUUUCAAUGCUAGUCUCCUCACAGUCCACCCUUGACCGUCCCAUUCUCCAGUUUCAAUGCUAGUCUCCUCCCAGUCCACCCUUGACCGUCCCAUUCUCCAGUUUCAAUGCUAGUAUCAUCACUACUCUACAUGUAUAUGUAUUUUAGCAUAUCCACCAUCAAUGCUGGUCACAUGACAAAUUACACUUACCUACCCUCACUACUUCAAGUAUGCCGCUGAUAUUAUUAUUUUUAUUCACAUAGCUAUGGGUUUUUUUGUGGCAAAUUCACUAGUGCCCUAGAUCGGCCCAAUCUGUGUUCUAUCAUAGGUGGUUAAAUAACGACAUCGCAUUGUUCAAUCUUCCAGUCCUAUCAGUGACAACUCUCAUAGCCAAUGUGCAUUGUUUCCGACGGCGAUCACCAAGAAGUUAUGUUCUCUUUCUCACCUAGGGCCGUUCACAAUUUGUUUUCCAUUUCAAUUUCCGCCCUUUCCACCAUCCUGGAAGCAUGGAGAGGGACAGUACUGGUAUUAUGAAUAUUUUUAUGUUACAAGCGGGGCAUUGGCUAUGUCAUCACUCAUCAGUACUACUUUCCGGCUGUACUGCUAUGACAUCACUACUACUUUCCAGCUGUCCUGCUAUGACAUCACUACUACUUGCUCCCAAGUCACUCUGUUUUCUGUACCCGA